GUUUGAUCAUGGCUCAGAGUGAACGCUCGGCGUGUAAGGCCUAACACAUGCAAGUCGAACGGCAGCACAGGAGAGCUUGCUCUCUGGGUGGCGAGUGGCGGACGGGUAGAGGAAUACAUACGGAAUCUACUUUUUCGUGGUGGUGAUAACGUAGUGGAAACUUACGCUAAUACCGCAUACGACCUACGGGUGAAAGCAGUGGGAUCUUCGGACCUUGCGCGAUUGAAUGAGCCGAUGUCGGAUUAGCUAGUU
rnacentral:rRNA from 1 species